CCAGAGUCAACACAAUUUCCCCCCUCAGGCAGGCUCCUAGUUCACUUGGUUUUUGUGUCAAACUACCCUUCAUGCAGUCGGACUAAAUAUUCAGACAAAAUAAAUAAGAGAGCUCCGAAAAGAAUAAAGAAGAAAAAAAAGUCAAUUAGUCCGGAUUGAGGAAGUUGUGGGUGUGUAAUGGGUUAACGGCGGAAGGCCUCGCCUCACCUUUAUUGCGCGUCACCCAGCUCUGAAGUGGUCUCACCAUCCCAGCAUCCGAACCGAAGGGGGGAAAUCACCGCCUCUUGCUGCCGCCAGACGCGCCUCUUCCUCUCGGUCGAGCUCACGUCUACCCGUCGGUCUCCGCCCCGCCGCUCCAUCACCGUCACAUACACCCAGAAGACAACGGGAACUGAGGGAAUAACAGCAAUUUACCGGCGAAACGGGGAAUCAUGAAGGACCGCAUGCAAGAACUUAGACAUGGGAAGGAGACGACUGAGGAGGAAGAUGAAGUCGCUGUUGGGAUGGAGAAAGGCUUUAUGGACGAAUUCUUUGAACAGGUGGAAGAGAUCCGGGGUUUUAUCGAAUCGCUGGCAGAGAAAGUUGAAGAGGUGAAGAGGAAGCACAGCGCCAUCCUUGCCUCACCCAACCCAGAUGAGAAAACUAAAGCUGAACUUGAGGAUCUUAUGGCAGACAUCAAGAAGUUGGCCAACAAAGUACGCUCCAAGUUAAAGAGUAUCCAACAAACCAUUGAGCAAGAGGAGGGGCAGAACAGGUCAUCGGCUGACCUGAGGAUACGUAAAACACAGCACUCCACACUGUCACGUAAAUUUGUCGAGGUGAUGUCAGAAUACAACACCACUCAGUCGGACUACAGGGAGCGCUGCAAGGGACGCAUUCAGAGACAACUGGAGAUCACUGGAAGAAACACAACAAACGAGGAGCUGGAGAGCAUGUUGGAAAGUGACAACCCAGCCAUCUUCACCUCGGGGAUAAUUAUGGACAACAUCACCCAGCAAGCGAUGAAUGAGAUCGAGACGCGGCACAAUGAGAUUAUCAAGCUGGAAAACAGUAUCAGGGAGCUUCACGACAUGUUCAUGGACAUGGCCAUGCUGGUGGAAAGCCAGCUCUGGAGAACACAGAACGUUGUUCCCCUUCUAACACAGCAAGGGCAACCUCGUGAACAACAUUGAGCGCUGUGUUAUGGAGGCCCAGGAUUAUGUGGAGCAGGGAAAGGACAACAUCCCAAAAUGCAAAAAGUUCAAAAAGACCAACAGACGGAAGGUGAUCCUGAUAGGAGUUUGUGUUGCGAUUUGUAUCACCAUCCUCAUUAUUUCGCUUGCAGUGGGACUCAGUUAGGAGCCUAAAAAAUCAUCACAUGGCAGACAGGACAGUCAUUAUGAGUGACAUGAAUGCCAGAAGACACACACUACACACACACACACACACACACACACACACACACACACACACACACACACACACACACAACUGUUCAUGUGUUAAAUGUACUGUAUGGUGGCCUCUGCAAUGUGUGCAGUGAGCACUGCUUAUGAACUGGGAAGCAAGUCAUUGCAUUACUGGUCUGAGGUCUGUGCAGCAAGCUAUGAACACUCAAAUAUAAUCUGCAUCAACUUGUAUUCUUAAUGUGUGCUUCAGCUCCAGGAACGGUUUGUGCUUGGCCUGUUUGAGUUGCAUAGCUUUGCAUGUCUCACUCUAUGUUUUCCAACAAACACAAAUUGAAGAUGAUUGCAUUAUUACUAAAAUGGUAAUCAAAAUAAGCUUAUUUCCAAUUAGUUUUGACGAUGAUGUAUUACUAAAGCUAAAACAAAAUAGUUAAACAUGUUGGGAAAUCCACUUUUGAGUCCCGUUGGUAAGAGUUAAAUCACAAAUUUGCGCAUUAGAGAUUUUGUCGUUUCGCAGGCAUAGUGACUUUAUGGAGGAGUGAUCGGGAAUUACAGCAAUCUCCAAAAAUGUAUUCUCCCUUCCAGGUUUUCAUCUGUAGUGUGCAAAUCAGUGUUUAUGCUUCCGUGCAAUUACUGUUUUUGGAAAAGUCUAACAAAUAUAAAACCAUUGACUUGUGGUGAUGUGUUAACAGCUGGGUGGAUGUUUUCUUUUUUUGUUUUGUUUUUUUAAUAAUUGUGAUUUUUUUUAAUCAUGAUUUUUAAGAUACUGUAACAAUGUACAGAUUUUAUUUCCUUCUCACCUGAUACAUCCAUGAUAUAUCAAUGAAUCUGAAAUGACCAGGUAAGGUAGUUUAUAGUUGUAAUUUUUUUAGACAGAAUGAGAUAUCUGCAUUCAAAAGAACGCUUUCUUUUAAUUCAAUUUAAUGAGGUUAAAAGAACCUCAGAUGAACAACGACACAUGACAUAUGUGUCAUUAUUUAUUUUUUUAAAUAAAUAAAUAAUUUAAAAAAAAAAGCCAAAAUGCAGAAACAUUGUGUGGAGAACUAAGAACAUUCUUAAUACUUUCAGAGGGAUUAAAAGGGUAAGUAGCAGCCAUGUGCUGCUAAACAAAUACAUUUGAUUAACUGAGCAUCAGCAAGUGUUAUAAAUUCUAUAAAAGCAGAGGUUUGGGUAGUUUACUGGCCUGGAGCAUUCUACUUGUUAAUGCUAAAUGUUAAGGUUCAUGAAACUGCAAAUAGAAAAACACUGACCAAAGUCUCUGAAAAGAACAUGGCAGCACAGUUUAGGUUUGCAUCUGAAUAAAACAAAAGACUUAGAGUCAGGGUUAGUGGAGAAGGGUUCUCGUUAAGGUCUGUGCCUUAAUGAAAACCAUCCCUGUAUACUGCUCUGUCCCUCAUCCUUCUCUGUUGGUUUAGAGUCUUGGUCUCAGAGAGACACGUAAGCCCUCACGCCACAUCAGGGCAUAGUCCAUGUGAGGGUUUUGAUUUGUUUUGUUUUGUUUUUUGUGGGGUUUUUUUGUAAUACUUUUGUUUGCAGGUAACUUGUGAAUGGAAAAACCCAAUCGCACUUCUGUCAAGUUGAAUGACAACAUAACGGAAAAUCACACUUCUGUUAAGUGGAAUCAAAAGAUAACGUAAAGUGUCUAUUCUAUUCUAAUAGAAAUGUUAACUAAAGUCGCACAUGAUCAAAAGAAAAGCAUUGAAGAAAAGCACUGAACGUUUAAUCUAGCAUUUGACGCAGAAUUUGCCUUUGCUUAUGUACAACAGCUCGAGUCCCUGUUCGGGAGGGUUACAGAAGCUAUGUUCAGCAAUCCUCCCGCACAGGGACUCGAGGAUCUGGGUUCACAAAGCCAAUCUCCUGUUCUGUCCAAUGCCUAUUCCUGGUUGCCAGCAUGUAGAUGGCUCUUGUCGGUAACAAGUCAGGUUCCUCCUCCUCUUCCAGUAGAGGAGCUUCCUGUUCCUCCAUUUCCAGGGUGAGAGCUGGGGGCUUUUUCUUCUCCUGGGCUGCUGAAGGGUGCAUCAUCCUGUAAAGGAUAUCGUAAUGCAUCUUGAAGAGGCUGAAUUCGAAGGUUCUUUCACACAGCGAGCUUGAAAGGAUUUUCUAUGUCUGGAGCUCUGCCUGUGUGAUUUUGAGCUCGGCGAGGAGGUCCUUGAUCUUCUCAAAGGACACACAGUCCCUAUUCAUAAGGAGUCCUACUGAGCUCACCAACACUAAGACCUUCUUUUGGGUCUCUCCAUCGACCCUUGCUGGAGUUCUUUUCAGCACCCAUGGGAGCCAUGGCAUUCCAUGCUCUUUGUAUCUCUCCAGGGUCCUCACAUAACAGAGGCCAUGGCGCUCCAUCUCCAUGGCUAUAUUGCCCACCAUGGCUAUGGCCCAUGCUUUCAUGGAAGGUUUCCUUGUCAUCGUUAUGCACUUCCACAUAAUUGAAGAAAGUCCAGGAAUGCCUUCCGUGUUCCCCUGAUGUCCCUGCAUUUUAUGUCCAGGAACCACCUCAGCUUGAGCUCAUGGAAUUCUGCCUUGAGACACUCCUGGACAUUUUUCCCUUCCCCUUUAAUAAGCUGCCUGAAUGGAGUUGGGAACGAGUCUCAGGUCGCCAGGUUCUCCGUUAACGCCGUCACUUUCAGAGUGUCUGGGCACUUUUCUCAUCCAGAAGGUGAUCCUGAUAGGAGUCCUUUUCUCCCUGAAGCUCAGAGAUCAAGAUAUUUUCAUUUCUCCGAAACAGGUCUUUGAGCAGAAGGAUGACCACUUCGGGGCCCAGCACUGAAGGCCUAACCCUAUAGCAUAUAGUUGCAAGGUGUUUCAAUGGCCAAGUUAAAGUCCAAACUUCAACCAUAUUGAAAUGCUCUGGUGGAGUAGCUUUGCUUCAUUAAAGGCCCACAAAUCUCAACAAGCUGAGGCAAUGUUAAGAAGAGUAAGCCAAAAAAAA